ensembl:lncRNA
GUAUGAAAGGAAAACCAAAGAGCAAAGCAAAGCAACAGAAAAACAAGAAGAAGAAAGAAAAGGGACUGAAAAGGAAAGGAAACUAACGAUAAGUCAUUCGAUAAGAAGAGAAAGGGGAAGGAAAAAAAGGAAUGCAAAGAAAUGAACUGGAAGGAAGAAAACCACAUUAAGGAAAUUAACAAUGGAAAGCAAAGCAAAACGAGCAGUACAGAAAUCUGAAUUAGAAUUAGAAGGCAGAGCAAAGCAAAGCAAGUAAGGGCAAGGCUAGAGGAAGGAGACAGGCAAGGGGACAAGGAUACCAGCAAGGAAAAGAAGGAAAAGAAGAAUGUAAUUACAAAACAAAAGGGAAACUGAAAGCAGAGCACAGAAAAACCACUGGAAAAGAGGAGAAAAUACAGAGAUACUUUUAGAAUGGACAACAAUAAGCGAAAGGUGGCCCAAGGAAGAAAGGGAAAGUGAAAGGCAACUGAAAGCACAGCAGGAACACACAGAGAACAGCACUCAGUUAAACAGUCAGAAAGAGAAAUGGAAGCAAAAGAUCAACAAAGUACAUCCAAGUUAAAAACCAACUGAAAAAGAGGAAACACGAAGGCAACGGGAAGAAGAGAGAAGAAGCAGAGUAGGAAAGAAAGCAAAGCAAAGCAAACCAGAAAGCAACGCAAAGCAAUGCGAAGCAGAGGUGAAAAGGAAGAACAAAAGAGCAGA